rnacentral:rRNA from 1 species
GACGGAGGAUGCAAGUGUUAUCCGGAAUCACUGGGCGUAAAGCGUCUGUAGGUGGUUCAAUAAGUCAACUGUUAAAUCUUGAGGCUCAACUUCAAAAUCGCAGUCGAAACUAUUGGACUCGAGUAUAGUAGGGGUAAAGGGAAUUUCCAGUGGAGCGGUGAAAUGCGUAGAGAUUAGGAAAGAACACCAAUGGCGAAAGCACUUUACUGGGCUAUUACUGACACUGAGAGACGAAAGCUAGGGUAGCAAACAGG